rnacentral:rRNA from 1 species
GAUGAACGCUGGCGGCGUGCCUAAUACAUGCAAGUCGAGCGAACAGACGAGGAGCUUGCUCCUCUGACGUUAGCGGCGGACGGGUGAGUAGCACGUGGAUAACCUACCUAUAAGACUGGGAUAACUUCGGGAAACCGGAGCUAAUACCGGAUAAUAUAUUGAACCGCAUGGUUCAAUAGUGAAAGACGGUUUUGCUGUCACUUAUAGAUGGAUCCGCGCCGCAUUAGCUAGUUGGUAAGGUAACGGCUUACCAAGGCAACGAUGCGUAGCCGACCUGAGAGGGGGAUCGGCCACACUGGAGCUGAGACACGGUCCAGACUCCGACGGGAGGCAGCAGUAGGGAAGCUUCCGCAGUGGGCGAAAGCCUGACGGAGCAACGCAGCGUGAGUGAUGAAGGGCUUCGGAUCGUAAAACGCUGUUAUUAGGGAAGAACAAAUGUGUAAGUAACGAUGCACGUCUGGACGGUACCUAAUCAGAAAGCCACGGCUAACUACGU